rnacentral:sRNA from 1 species
GCCGGGUGUGGUGAUGGGCACCUGUAAUCCCAGCUACUCGGGAGGCUGAGGCAGGAGAAUUGCUUGAACCCAGGAGGCAGAGGUUGCAGUGAGCCAUGAUUGUGCCACUGCACUCCGGCCUGGGUGACAGAGCAAGACUCCGUCUUGA